GUCUAAAAAGCCACAAAGUCGACUAUAUGUUUCCUAUAAGCAGAGACGUUUCAGGUUGGAUGCUCAAACUCUCUUUUUUUCGGCGUACAGUUGCCUCCCCGAGCCAGAGCCUGUCCCCGGAGAGAGACCUGAGCGAGGGAAGCCAUAAGACAAGCUUCAAAGGACACACACAGAUUGCCUGCCUCUUCUUCCCCGUGGUCUUCCUGGCACACAAUCUGGGUGCUUGAUUCAUACAUGAGAUGGAUGUGCAGUGCCGGGGGAGUAGUAGCCAUUCCUGCCUGCAGGAGCAAAAGUCACCGCCUCUGUCCAUGGUGCUGAGGACAGAGCACCAUCAGACGGGAAAGAAGAGGAAGGAAUUUAAAAGGUGGUGGACAGACUUUUGACCCGGUUUUCCUGGAGCUGAUUUUUCGUGACUACUUGUUUAUUUUUCCAGGUGACUUUUUGUUAUUAAAUAUAUAUUUUUUCACUGAUCUGCAUUUGGAUUCUUAUUUUUUUUUGAGACCACAACACAUAUGUGUAUGCAAGGCCUACUUGAUCAACAGCCAUGCAGGUCACACUGAGGGUGGCCGUAUAAACAACUGUAACACUGUUACAAAUAUGCGCCACAUAGUGAACCCACACCAAACAAGAACGACAUACACAUUUCGGGAGAACAUCUGCACCGUAACACAACGUAAACAAAACAGAACAAUUACCCAGAACCCUUUGCAACACUAACUCUUCCGGGAUGCUACAAUAUACAGGCCCUGCUACCACCAAACCC